rnacentral:rRNA from 1 species
UACGGGGGGGAGCAAGCGUUGUUCGGAUUCAUUGGGCGUAAAGGGUGCGUAGGUGGCGUGGUAAGUCGGGUGUGAAAUCUCGGGGCUUAACUCCGAAACUGCAUUCGAUACUGCCGUGCUUGAGGACUGGAGAGGAGACUGGAAUUUACGGUGUAGCGGUGAAAUGCGUAGAUAUCGUAAGGAAGACCAGUGGCGAAGGCGGGUCUCUGGACAGUUCCUGACGCUGAGGAGCGAAAGCAUGGGGAGCGAACAGG